ACGAUCACAUCACGGUGAAAACACCGCUUCCCGUGCGAUCAGCGAAGUUCAGCAACGUCGAGCCUGGUCAGCGCCUAGAUGGGUUACCGCUUGGAAAUACCAGGUACUGCAUG